rnacentral:rRNA from 1 species
UCGCUACUACCGAUUGAAUGUCUUAGUGAGGACCACGGAUCGCUGUCUUGGGUGGCAACACCCCUGACGGUGAGAAGUGGUCCAAACUUGAACAUUUAGAGGAAGUAA